rnacentral:rRNA from 1 species
UACGAAGGGGGCUAGCGUUGCUCGGAAUUACUGGGCGUAAAGCGCACGUAGGCGGCUCUUUAAGUCGGGGGUGAAAUCCUGGAGCUCAACUCCAGAACUGCCUUCGAUACUGAAGAGCUCGAGUCCGGGAGAGGUGAGUGGAACUGCGAGUGUAGAGGUGAAAUUCGUAGAUAUUCGCAAGAACACCAGUGGCGAAGGCGGCUCACUGGCCCGGUACUGACGCUGAGGUGCGAAAUCGUGGGGAGCAAACAGG